rnacentral:rRNA from 1 species
GCUAGCUACAGGCUUAACACAUGCAAGUCGAGGGGUAGCAGGGUAGCAAUACCGCUGACGACCGGCGCACGGGUGAGUAACACGUAUCCAACCUUCCCAUAACUCGGGGAUAGCCUUUCGAAAGAAAGAUUAAUACCCGAUAGUACUUUUUCAAGGCAUCUUGAGAAAGUUAAAGAUUUAUUGGUUAUGGAUGGGGAUGCGUUCCAUUAGAUAGUUGGUGAGGUAACGGCUCACCAAGUCUUCGAUGGAUAGGGGUUCUGAGAGGAAGGUCCCCCACAUUGGUACUGAGACACGGACCAAACUCCUACGGGAGGCAGCAGUGAGGAAUAUUGGUCAAUGGGCGAGAGCCUGAACCAGCCAAGUAGCGUGAAGGAUGACGG